rnacentral:rRNA from 1 species
CGCUUUUUGUACUUAUAAAAAGUCGUACCUGCCCGGUGAAGCGAUUUAAACGGCUGCAGUACCCUGACUGUGCAAAGGUAGCAUAAUAAUUUGCCUCUUAAUUGGUGGCUUGAAUCAACGGUUUGACGAAGGCAUAGCUGUUUCUUAUAUAUUAUAUAUAAUUUAUCUUUUAGGUAAAAAUUCCUAGAUUGAAUUAAGGGACGAGAAGACCCUAUUGAAUUUUUAAAAAAAUAUAUAAAUAAAAGCUUAUUAUAAAAAUUAAUUUAUUUUUAUAAUAAUUUUGGUUGGGGCAACCAAGGAACAAUAAAAGCUUCUUGCUAAUAAAAUAAAAAAACUUUUGAUCCAAUGAUAUAUAUAUUGACAAUGGGAAUUAAUUACCAUAGGGAUAACAGCGUAAUUUUUCUAGAGAGGGCUAAUCGAAAGAAAAGUUUGCGACCUCGAUGUUGGAUUAGGAUACUCAAAAGGUUGCAGGAGCUUUUUAUGAUUUGUCUGUUCGACUAUUAAAAUCCU